AUGACGCCUCUGCCGGCUAACCACCUCCCCCACCACGUUGGUACUCCUACUAAUUUCCAUGUGAGCCCCCGCCUCCGCCAAGGCCCACCUGCCAUGGCACAGCCGGUGCAUUGGCUGGCUCGCGAGGCGGCAGAUGACGACAGGAUGGGGAUUGCGGAGACGGCAGCGGCACAUAUUGUUCGCGCACCAGCCAUCGACCAUGCAUCUGCGACAUUGGCAACACAGUUCAUGGUGUUGUCGGUGGGUAGGCAUGGUUCUGGUAGGAGUGGGGGUGAGCGCGGUGUGAAAGAUGAUGGUGCCGCUGAGCUCCCCUCCUUAUUCCCGGUGACUUGUUCUGGUUCUUCUCGUAAGUUGAUUCGGACAAAUAGGCACGUGAAAAGUUUUAUUUUUUUUUCUUUAGUAUAUGUCUAGCAACUUAUGG
rnacentral:lncRNA from 1 species